rnacentral:rRNA from 1 species
CGUGGCUAACCUGCCCUUGGGACGGAAGAACCCCCGGGAAACUGGGGCUAAUUUCCGAUAGGUGAUGAUACCUGGAAUGGUUUUUUGCUCAAAGGGCGCUUAGGGCAUGCUUCUAGGCGUUGCCCAAGGAUGGGGCCGCGGCCGAUCAGGUUGUUGGUGAGGUAACGGCUCACCAAGCCUUUAACCGGUGCGGGCCGUGGGAGCGGAAGCCCGGAGAUGGGCACUGAGACAAGGGCCCAGGCCCUACGGGGCGCAGCAGUCGCGAAAAUUUCGCAAUAAGCGAAAGCUUGACGGAGCUAUCCCGAGUGCCAUCCGCUGAGGAUGGCUUUUCCCUAGUAUAGAUAGCUGGGGGAAUAAGGAGAGGGCAAGUCUGGUGUCAGCCGCCGCGGUAAUACCAGCUCUCCGAGUGGUUGGGAUGAUUGUUGGGCCUAAAGCAUCCGUAGCCGGCUGGGCAAGUCCCCUGUUAAACCCAAUGAUUUAAUCGUUGGUCUGCGGGGGAUACUGCUUGGCUAGGGGGCGAGAGAGGCCGUCGGUAUUCCCGGGGUAGGGGUGAAAUCCUAUAAUCCCGGGAGGACCACCAGUGGCGAAGGCUGUCGGCUAGAACGCGCCCGACGGUGAGGGAUGAAAGCUGGGGGAGCGAACCGGAUUAGAUACCCGGGUAGUCCCAGCUGU